rnacentral:misc_RNA from 1 species
UUUUCUUUCACUAGGUUAAAAUUCUCUAUCCAUGUUUGAAUAGUCUUUUGAUGCAAUGAAAAUGUAUGCAUAACAAACAAUUGUUUUACUUUUACAUUAGUUUUGUGUGUUGUAUUGUUAUGAUUAUGAUCAGUAUUAUCAUCCUAUUCGACUAUGGCAUAGAGUUGCAUGCGGUUAUAAUUUGGAAUUUUGUAUUCUUUAUCAAUUGAAACGGAAAGGCGCUUUGUUUACUCAAUAGAUUAGGAUUUGUUAAAAGGAGGAAAAGUAGUGAUUUGUAUAUUCUUUGUUGACUCUUUCCCUUAUUUAUUUACCUUUUUACUAAUUCACAAAAUGUUUAUGGAAG